rnacentral:rRNA from 1 species
UACGUAGGGGGCAAGCGUUGUCCGGAAUUAUUGGGCGUAAAGCGCGCGCAGGCGGCUAAUUAAGUCUGGUGUUUAAUCCCGGAGCUCAACUCCGGGUCGCACGGGAAACUGGUUGGCUUGAGUACAGAAGAGGAAAGUGGAAUUCCACGUGUAGCGGUGAAAUGCGUAGAGAUGUGGAGGAACACCAGUGGCGAAGGCGACUUUCUGGGCUGUAACUGACGCUGAGGCGCGAAAAGCGUGGGGGAGCAAACAGGG